UGGGGAAUAUUGGACAAUGGACGCAAGUCUGAUCCAGCGACGCCGCGUGGGUGAUGAAGGCCUUCGGGUUGUAAAGCCCUGUGGGCAGGGAAGAAAACGGCGAGGUUAAAUAAGCCUGGUCCUUGACGGUACCUGCUCAGAAAGCACCGGCUAACUCUGUGCCAGCAGCCGCGGUAAGACAGAGGGUGCAAACGUUGCUCGGAAUUACUGGGCGUAAAGCGCGUGUAGGUGGAUUGGUAUGUCAGAUGUGAAAUCCCUGGGCUCAACCCAGGAACUGCACCUGAAACUACCAGUCUUGAGUGGUGGAGAGGGAAGUGGAAUUCCUGGUGUAGAGGUGAAAUUCGUAGAUAUCAGGAGGAACACCAGUGGCGAAGGCGGCUUCCUGGACACUAACUGACGCUGAGACGCGAAAGCGUGGGGAGCAAACAGGAUUAGAUACCCGCGUAGUCC
rnacentral:rRNA from 1 species